AACGAGCGCUGGCGGCAUGCCUAACACAUGCAAGUCGAACGGGAUCCUGGUUUCGGCCAGGUGAGAGUGGCGGACGGGUGAGUAACGCGUGGGAACCUGCCCAGUGGUGGGGGAUAACUGCGGGAAACUGCAGCUAAUACCGCAUGAGCCCGCAAGGGGAAAGAUUGAUCGCCAUUGGAGGGGCCCGCGUUCGAUUAGGUAGUUGGUGAGGUAACGGCUCACCAAGCCUACGANCGAUAGCUGGUCUGAGAGGAUGAUCAGCCACACUGGGACUGAGAUACGGCCCAGACUCCUACGGGAGGCAGCAGUGGGGAAUAUUGGACAAUGGGGGCAACCCUGAUCCAGCAAUGCCGCGUGAGUGAUGAAGG
rnacentral:rRNA from 1 species